CAGUAUUGUCACAGAGUAGAAAAUUUUAAUUCUAACAAAGUCCACCUUAACUGGAUUUUUCAUUGAAGACUCGUUCUUUCAAUGUUGAAGAUAAAAGGUCAUUAUGAAAUCUCAGGUCAUAUCUUCUCCUUUGCUAGUUCUAGAAUUUUGAUAGUUUCGCAGUUUGUGUUUACAUCCAUGAACAAUUUUUGUGAAUAUUUGUGUCAUGUGAAAAGUUGGCAUCUUUGUUAAGUUUUUUCCAUAUGGUCACCCGAUUGUGCCAUCACCAUUUGUUUAAAAGACUAACUUUUCUCCAUCAAAUUGCCUCUGAUCUUUUGACAAAGAUCAGUUGCCCAUGUUUGUGAGUCUAUGUAUGGACUCUGUGUUCUUUUCUAUUUAUCUCCUGGCACAUUCUUACCCCAGCAUCACACUCCCUGUACCUUUCUAAAUCCUGGAAUGGGGAAGUGCGGCUUACUCAACUUUGCUCUUCAGUGUUGUGCAGGAUAUUCCAGGUGCAGAAACGGUUUGUAGAUAUCUACAAAGUGUCUGACUGGGACAUUGACUGGGGUUGUGUUGACUCUGUAGGUCCAGUCGGGAAGAGCUGACAUCUUCAUUAUACUGAGUCUACUGAUCGUGGAAGUGAAAUACGUCUCCUAUUAGAUUUCAGUUCCUUUCUCACGGCGGCCGUGGGCAAGGGGUGCGGCCUUGUACUCGGCGCGUCUUCAUCUGGAUCAGGAGUUUUCGCUGAGAGCUCCCUGGACAGUUUCCACUUGCUGCACACAGUCAUCCCGUCAUGGGAACUGCGUACAGAUCUGUGGUCUCUUUGCACCAGGACACUUCUGCUUUCAGCCUGGGGUCUUGGCUAUUGGGAAGAAUGCUGCAGUGAACAUGCGAGUGCAGAAAUCUCUUCAAGAUUCUGAUUUCGUUUCCUUCGGAUAUAUACCCAGAAUGGGUUUGCUGGAUUACACGGUAGUUCUGCUUGAAUUUCUUAAAGGUGUCCAGUGUGUUGAUUGA
rnacentral:lncRNA from 1 species